AUUAAAAAAACGGGGUGAAAAGAACAAAAUUUUGUCCAUCUUUGUUCAUCAUAGCCUAAAGUUAGAGAAGAGAAAGGAGAGGAGAAAGCUCUUGAGUAUUCGGUCACUAGGAGGAGGAAAAUUGAAGUUAGUGUGUGGAUCUCGUCAGCAUAUCGUCGCAAACAUGUGUGUAACUAACACCCUCUUUCUUAGUCUGGAUCGGCAAAAGUCGAAAAGCCGAAAUGUCGAAAACUGGUAUUUUGUAGAUUUGGGAGUGUGCGAAUGCUCGUGAGGUAAAUCGAUUAAUGUUUUUGGUAAGCUGCAAAAUUUGGACUGCAAAG